rnacentral:rRNA from 1 species
AUACGGAGGGUGCAAGCGUUAUUCGGAAUCACUGGGCGUAAAGGACGCGUAGGCGGGUUGGCAAGUCAGAUGUGAAAUCCUACAGCUUAACUGUAGAACUGCAUUUGAAACUGCUAACCUAGAGUAUGGGAGGGGGAGAUGGAAUUAGUGGUGUAGGUGUAAAAUCCGUAGAUAUCACUAGGAAUACCGAAAGCGAAGGCGAUCUCCUGGAACAUAACUGACGCUAAGGCGUGAAAGCGUGGGGAGCAAACAGGAUUAGAAACCCUAGUAGUCC